AAGUCGUAACAAGGUUUCCGUAGGUGAACCUGCGGAAGGAUCAUUAACGAGUAACUGAACAGGUUGUAGCUGGCCUUUCGGGGCAUGUGCACGCCUGGCUCAUCCACUCUUCAACCUCUGUGCACUUGUUGUAGGUCGGUCGAAGGGUCACUGUGUAAACGGUGACUUGGAAGCCUUCCUAUGUUUUACUACAAACGCUUCAGUUUAAGAAUGUAAUCUCUGCGUGUAACGCAUUUAUAUACAACUUUCAGCAACGGAUCUCUUGGCUCUC
rnacentral:misc_RNA from 1 species